rnacentral:misc_RNA from 1 species
CCCGCCACAGGCUUUAAUUAUUUAUAACACUCUCACUUUCCGUCUCGCUACCCUUGACAUAGUGAACAUUUUUAUCGAACCUCACCGAAAUCCUUUUGAGGACCCAUCAAUACCCAACAAUCGGACGACGCCAUGAGACCAUGCUGUAUAAAAACUAUCGGUUUCUUUCUAGCCGGAGAAGAAUUUGGACUACUUGGUAUCCUGUGCAUGACCAAUUUGUAACCAUCGAUUGUGAUAACGUUGUGUUCCUCGGCUGGAUAAUUGUGCUGUUUCACCAAUCCCAUCUGUUCAAAAGAAAAAAUAGAAAGAAAUUUAAUGACCAAAGAAUUUCCGCGUCAAAAAAAGAACGACAAUUGUGCGAUCCGUCGCUAUUGAGACGAUAAUUAAUCUCUAUACCAUUGGACACGAUGCAUUAAAAUUCAAAAAUACGUAAUCGAGCGUAUAAAUAAGAAUAAUGUUAGCGGGCCAACGACAAACGCGGAAAGUCACCGAGAC